rnacentral:rRNA from 1 species
GAUCAGGUAGGGAUACCCGCUGAACUUAAGCAUAU